AUCGAGCUGAUUUCUUUUCAAAUAAAUGAAUGCGAGUUUGUAUGACUGGAUGGAAAAGGAGCAGAAAACCUCAAGCGGAUUCCCCUGCAUUGUACAGAAAAGCCUGCAUUCUAUAUGCAUGGGUUUACACAGGCAGUUCAGACACAACAGAAAACAGCAAAUGAGGAGUAACAGGUCAUGGGAUAUAGGCAAAGAAGAACAGACAAAAUAUAAUCCGAGUAAAUAAACCUAGAAAAAAUACUGACAGAAAACAAUAUGAUCCUUGUGGCCACCAAUCAAAUUGUUCUGGGUAACCCUUGUCAGGCCAUUAUCAGAAUGAGCUUCAGGUCGGUUGAUGAAACCACAAAACUAACGGUUCCAAACAUGAUCCCCAAAAUAUCAUCACUGCUGAAGGAUAAUUUGUGAAGAGAACGAAAAACAUGCUAAAUCAGGCAAACUGAAAGUGCAUUCUCAUUGUCACCUCAACGCAGGUACUCGAGUAAGUUAUUUGGUCUCUACUAGACAGUCAUCCGGAAAGUAGUCUCUGGUCUGGAGGAUCAUUCACCUCACACUUAUCCAAGGUACAUAACUAGGGACUUGCAGAAGGAGAUGCAGACUGGAGCCCUAGAAAUUCUUGCUGGCGUACUUGUCAGGUUCAUCAUCCUUGAAGAGGUCGUCCAUGACAUCGUCAUUCUUGGCGCUUUCAAAGCUGGAACCAGGGGUGCCAAGGGAGAACUCAUCACCACUGGUGGAACCUGCAGGAGCACCAUGGUUUCCAGCUGGGUUUCCACCGAAACCACGGUCACCACCAAAGUUGCCGGCAGCAAAG
rnacentral:lncRNA from 1 species